rnacentral:tRNA from 1 species
ACGGCGCUAGCUCAAUUGGUAGAGCAGCUGAUUCCAAAUCAGCAGGUUGGGAGUUCGAGUCUCUCGCGCCGUGCCA